UUUGUAUACAGCUGUUUUUGUGGAUUUACUCUUCCGAUCUUCGAAUCUAGAUGGAGCUAGGUCUGGGAGAGUCCAACGAACUGUAUGAAGACAUUAGCAUCAGUGGCUGCUAGAGGAACAUCGCUAGUUGUAACAUACACGAGGUAACGGACAGGGUUUCCGAGAUCAGAGGACGCUGCAAGCACAACAUUUCAAUACUCAAUAAUCUGUUACAAACAUGUUAUUGUAUAUGGCAGAUUGUGCAAAACUAGACCUGUUUGAGUGCUGGGCCAAAAAAAAAUCUACUAUAUUCUCUCAAUAUUCAGAGGCCUAAUACAUGAUGCUAGUUAAAA